rnacentral:rRNA from 1 species
CGCGUAGGCGGGCGAUCAAGUCAGGGGUGAAAGCCUCCAGCUUAACUGGAGAAGUGCCUCUGAUACUGGUUGUCUCGAGGGGGAUAGGGGCAUGCGGAACUUCCGGUGGAGCGGUGAAAUGCGUAGAUAUCGGAAGGAACACCGGUGGCGAAAGCGGCGUGCUGGAUCCCUUCUGACGCUGAGGCGCGAAAGCCAGGGGAGCGAACG